rnacentral:rRNA from 1 species
UGGAGCAUGUGGUUUAAUUCGAUGAUACGCGAGGAACCUUACCUGGGCUCGAACGUAAGAUGACUGUAGGUGAAAGCUUACAUCUCUUCGGAGCAUUUUACGAGGUGCUGCAUGGUUGUCGUCAGCUCGUGCCGUGAGGUGUCGGGUUAAGUCCCAUAACGAGCGCAACCCCUACCUUAGUUGCCAUCAGGUUAAGCUGGGGACUCUAAAGGAACUGCCUACGCAAGUAGUGAGGAAGGCGGGGAUGACGUCAAAUCAGCACGGCCCUUACGUCCAGGGCUACACACGUGCUACAAUGGCCGAUACAGAGGGCAGCUACCUGGUGACAGGAUGCAAAUCUCCAAAGUCGGUCUCAGUUCGGAUCGGAGUCUGCAACCCGACUCCGUGAAGUUGAAUUCGCUAGUAAUCGCGCAUCAGCCAUGGCGCGGUGAAUACGUUCCCGGGCCUU